rnacentral:rRNA from 1 species
AUUGAACGCUGGCGGCAGGCCUAACACAUGCAAGUCGAACGGUAACAGGAAGCAGCUUGCUGCUUCGCUGACGAGUGGCGGACGGGUGAGUAAUGUCUGGGAAACUGCCUGAUGGAGGGGGAUAACUACUGGAAACGGUAGCUAAUACCGCAUAACGUCGCAAGACCAAAGAGGGGGACCUUAGGGCCUCUUGCCAUCGGAUGUGCCCAGAUGGGAUUAGCUAGUAGGUGGGGUAACGGCUCACCUAGGCGACGAUCCCUAGCUGGUCUGAGAGGAUGACCAGCCACACUGGAACAGAGACACGGUCCAGACUCCUACGGGAGGCAGCAGUGGGGAAUAUUGCACAAUGGGCGCAAGCCUGAUGCAGCCAUGCCGCGUGUAUGAAGAAGGCCUUCGGGUUGUAAAGUACUUUCAGCGGGGAGGAAGGGAGUAAAGUUAAUACCUUUGCUCAUUGACGUUACCCGCAGAAGAAGCACCGGCUAACUCCGUG